rnacentral:rRNA from 1 species
UACAUAAGGAGCGAGCGUUAUCCGGAUUUACUGGGCGUAAAGGGCGCGUAGGCGGCAAGGCAAGUUAGGUGUUAAAGGUUUUGGCUCAACCAAAACAUGCAUUUAAAACUGCUUUGCUAGAGAGUGGGAGAGGAAAGCGGAAUUCACAGUGUAGCGGUGAAAUGCGUAGAUAUUGUGAAGAACAUCAGUGGCGAAGGCGGCUUUCUGGACCACAUCUGACGCUGAGGCGCGAAAGCGUGGGGAGC